AUAAAGGGGGACGGUAGUGAAGACAGAGAAAAAGCGCUGGUGAGAAUCUUUUGAAUCCUUGUAAGGAGCUAAGGAGAGGUCACUAAGUGAGCCACAGAGGCAGACCGAGGCAGGGAAGUGAGCGGCAGUUGUGCAGCGGAGCUCCCCGCAGGGUUUAUCUGCCCAGCAGCUCUGCUUCCUGUGUGUCUGCAUGCUCGGUUCCCGGAGCAAAAAGCCGGUCCGCCGCCAGCGCACCUUGCUCCUCUCGGUCCAGCACAGCAGAGCUAGGAGGGCGCUGCAGACCCGGGCAAGCGCCGCGGCUCGCACGGUGACACCGUCAAGGCCGCGGUGCAGCAGCAGAUCUGACAAAUCCGCCCGGUGCACAGAGCGCCUGACGCGCCGUGAGGCCUGGGUGACUCACUGCAGGACGCCGUUCCGCACCCAGCGCCCCAUCCCUCGCUGGAGGCGGGGGCCGAGGCGCAGGCUGCCGGGAGACGGGAAGACGCCCCUGGAACUCAGCCAGGGGUAGCCUCCGGCUGCGAUUUUCUGCCUAAUGCAGUUUCUUUAUCAGGGAGCGCAACAAGUAGCAGUGGGGAGCUGACAGAAGAAAAGUUCUGGCCCCCGCAGCAACUGAGAUGGGGAAAAGGAACAGCGUGUAAUGUAGCGGAAGGCACACAGGAAGCCUGCAGCCUUAGUUUGGGACAACUUCUCUGCCUUUGCUAUGUUCAUAAUUGGGAAAGAGAAGUUAUCAGGACCUCUUCUAGCCCAUGAAAAAAAAAUGCUACCAAGAGUCCUCUAAAAGAAAAGAGAAGAAAAACUAAAAUGAUACUGAAGAUUGCACUUUCCAAGGGAAUGCACAAUAAUAGCCUUACAAAUAUUUCAUAAUUUUAAAAAUAGCUACAAAUGUCGUGGUCUACUGCAACAGUUUGAAAUUGUAUGUUAAUGUUUCCUAG